AAUGCGACCUCAGCUCA
rnacentral:rRNA from 2 species